rnacentral:rRNA from 1 species
AUGCAGUGGGCUCGGCCUUCGUCGACGGCUGUGGGGUCCCGUUCCUCCCUCGACCAUCGGCGGCAGCGCGGGACGCAGCGGGCUCGGCCUUCGUCGUCGGCGGCGGGGUCCCUUUCCUCCCUCGACCAUCGGCGGCAGCGCAGGACACAACGGGCGGCCAGGGACGCGGCGCUGGGUGCGGGGCGUGGUUGCAUGGUGGAGGGCGCGUGCAUGAAGGCGACGCGUUCCGUACUACUGUCAUCAUGCUCCCUGAUACGAGCUCCUCCUUCCUCCCGCUGGACAUGCCCAGCACCAUCCCAUGCCCUCAGCCCGCUGGCCAGAGAAAGGAGCUUGAUUUAA